GAAAGGCCAAUCAAACUCAGCGAUAGCUGGUUCUCCUCGAAAUGUAUUUAGGUACAGGGUUCGAUGUUUCGUUGUGGGGGUAGAGCGCUGUUUGGGCUAGGGGCCUUACCCGGUUACCAAACCCAGGCAAACUACGAAUACCAUAACGUUAGAGUUGAGCACUGAGUCAGUGGGUGAUAACGUUCAUUGGCGAGAGGGAAACAACCCGGACCGACAGCUAAGGUUCCUAAAUCUAUGCUAAGUGAUAAAGGAUGUUCAAUCGCACAGACAAUUAGGAGGUUGGCUUAGAAGCAGCCACCCUUUAAAGAGUGCGUAAUAGCUCACUAAUCGAGCGAUUGGGCGCCGAAAAUGUACGGAUCUAAGCAUAGUACCGAAGCUUCGGAUCCAGGCAGUCGAAGGACUGCUUGGGUGGUAGAGGAGCGUUCCUACAGCGGCGAAGGUAUAGCGAGAGCAGUGCUGGAGCGGUAGGAAGUGAGAAUGCAGGCAUGAGUAGCGAAAAUGACGGUUAAAUUCCGUCACACCGUAAGCCC
rnacentral:rRNA from 1 species